rnacentral:lncRNA from 1 species
CAGUGGUGGGACAAGAGAGGAUGGGAGAAGCGGUCCCAGGAAGGGAAGGAAGGCGACCCCCGCUCCCCGAGGGUGCAGCCUUGCCAAGGCCAGGCUGCUUCCCAGUCCACCUUGGAGCAACUCACCCUCUACCAGAGCCUGCUGAAGCGGUUCUAUUUAUACCACUGAUACAUGGGGAUACGCCUUUCAGAUUUUCUAGAAGGAUUUGGAUCUACUUAUGCAAGCUUUUCUGAGCCCGGAGUCUAUCGGUUUCAAAGACACGUGAAAAGCUAUGAAGAAAACCCAAGGGAAGGAAACCUCGGGAGCUGGGGCCCGAAAACACAGGGCCGGACAUCUGCUCUCCGCCCACGGUUGGGGCUGUUUAAAUGGUCUCUUGACGGGUCACCACGGGGCCACCCAAUCCCAUCCUGGUCUUGUUGAGUUCUCAUUGGCCUAGGGAAUAGACCUAACCGGAGCCAAGGACAUCCAGAAAUGAAGUCACGGCUUCCGCCCUGGCCACCUCUGAGGGCCGUCACCUCUCGUUCUGCCCCCACUACCUCCUAAUAUCUGGCAUAAGAACCUGGUGAAAAAUCUGCACUUGGCAUUUCUGGGUAUGCCCCUCACCCCUUCUGAAUGGCUGUGUGGCCUUGGGCAGGUCAUUUCAAGAAAGACUGUAUUCUCAACUGAGGGUACUACCUACUCCUUAAGACCGACUUGGACAGAAGUGCCUGGGACAGAAGUGCUCAAUAAAUAGUACAAUAUCU